rnacentral:pre_miRNA from 1 species
CCGUACAUUUUCCAGGAUGGAAGCCCGAAGUUUGAGGGAGAAACUUGUGAGGAAAUAAAGGAAGUUAGGCUGAGGGGCAGAGAGCGAGACUUUUCUAUUUUCCAAAAGCUCGGUCUGAGGCCCCUCAGUCUUGCUUCCUACCCCGCGCUUGAGUUUCUCCCCGCUUGGAUGCUCUCAGGGGCAGUGUGAAG